AGAGUUUGAUCCUGGCUCAGAACGAACGCUGGCGGCGUGCCUAAUACAUGCAAGUCGAGCGAAUCACUGAGAGCUUGCUCUCGGUGGUUAGCGGCGGACGGGUGAGUAACACGUGGGCAACCUGCCUAUAAGACUGGGAUAACUUCGGGAAACCGGAGCUAAUACCGGAUAAUCCUUUUCCACUCAUGUGGGGAAGCUGAAAGACGGUUUCGGCUGUCACUUAUAGAUGGGCCCGCGGCGCAUUAGCUAGUUGGUGAGGUAAUGGCUCACCAAGGCGACGAUGCGUAGCCGACCUGAGAGGGUGAUCGGCCACACUGGGACUGAGACACGGCCCAGACUCCUACGGGAGGCAGCAGUAGGGAAUCUUCCGCAAUGGACGAAAGUCUGACGGAGCAACGCCGCGUGAACGAUGAAGGCCUUCGGGUCGUAAAGUUCUGUUGUUAGGGAAGAACAAGUAUCGGAGUAACUGCCGGUACCUUGACGGUACCUAACCAGAAAGCCACGGCUAACUACGUGCCAGCAGCCGCGGUAAUACGUAGGUGGCAAGCGUUGUCCGGAAUUAUUGGGCGUAAAGCGCGCGCAGGCGGUUCCUUAAGUCUGAUGUGAAAGCCCCCGGCUCAACCGGGGAGGGUCAUUGGAAACUGGGGAACUUGAGUACUGAAGAGGAAAGCGGAAUUCCACGUGUAGCGGUGAAAUGCGUAGAGAUGUGGAGGAACACCAGUGGCGAAGGCGGCUUUCUGGUCAGUAACUGACGCUGAGGCGCGAAAGCGUGGGGAGCAAACAGGAUUAGAUACCC
rnacentral:rRNA from 1 species